AUGCGUUGUUGGUGAUGACAUUAGCCUCGAGGUGAUGCGGUGUCAUGUUGCCUGUGUAUCCUGGUUUCGAGCUAUUGAGCUUAAAACACGUGGAUUAUCGGUUGGUGACAUGGCAUCGCUCCCUUGGUUGAUGAAAGUCGUCCAAUGAUGCAGUGGUUUGUUUGUUUUCUUCUCGCAUCGCUCGGUGCAUUCUGGGGUCAUUUUGGCUACUGGUAGCUUGCUUGGCAAUUGAGCUUGGUGGGUUGCUACUAGUUGGGUGUCUUCGGGGAUGUCUACCGUAAAGGUGCAUGAGUGGUGUUUGGUUUGUUACGGGUGGUUGGCUCUUUGCUUGCGCAACAACUUCUACCCGGCAUACCUCUUCAGUCUUGUGUCAAUGCUUGUUUUGCAUUGAAUGCACGGCGGGUUUCUUGUGUUGCAUGCCUAAUUGAUGGUAUCGUUUGAUGAAUUGGUUUUCCUUUCGUUUUGCAUCGCCUUGGAGAUGUGAGAUGAACCUUGAAGCAGUCUUUGUGAUCCACUCUUUUGAUGCAUACGCAUUGAUUUUGUGGCCCAUUGAGUGUUGCUCGGUGUCAUGGAUAUGGAACAUGUUGUGGGCAUGGAAAUCUUAAUGGUUCCUCGUUUGCCCAAGUUUAGCUUUUCUAAAACGAUGGYCUAUCA
rnacentral:misc_RNA from 1 species